rnacentral:lncRNA from 1 species
GAUUCCUUCCUCCUGGCAGUAUCCUUUCACCACUAGACGAGCUUUGUUUCUUAUCACAUUGCCUUCCUUGUCCAUUUUAUUUCUGAAGACCCAUUUGAGACCAACAACCGAGGCAUCUUUAGGAGUUGGAAUGAGGUGCCAAACCUUAUUUCUUUCGAACUCAUUAAGUUCGUCUUGCAUAGCUUGUACCCAAUCAGCGUGAUCAAGAGCGGUGUUUAGUGUCUUUGGUUCAACUUUUCAAACAAAAGAGUUAAACAUGCAGAACUCUACUUUUGAGAAUAGAGCUGUUUGCUUUGCCUUCAGUUAAGAUCGGGUCAAGACCUUUUCAGAGACAUUACCCACAACCUGUGAAACAGGAUGAUCUCUGGUCCAUUUGACAAGAGGAGGGUAAUUUAGAUCAUAGGAUGGAUCCAAUUCAGCAUUUACCAUUUCUUCUAAUUCAGAUUUACUAUCAUCGUCAUUAAACAUAUUUGCAUUCUCCCCCUCGACUGAUGAGCUUUCAGGUGUAUGUUGACUUUCCGGUGCUACAGGACUUUCGGGUGCAGUUGAGCUUUCGGGAGCUACAGUACCUUCGGGUGCAGUAGAGCUUUCGGGUGCAGCUGGAGUAGAGUUCUCCCCCUCAACUUGUGAGCUCGACUGUUUUGAAGAAGAUGGAUUCUCUCCGUCAACUGAAGCACCGUGCUGAGGAGGUUCAUUUGAAACUGAUUCUCCUUCACCCAUUCGUUUGGCGGCGUCUUCGAUGAUUCGCUUCAAAUGGUCAACUUUGUUGUCUGUUGCAUUGGCUUCUGAUAGAGUAGCCUUCUCCGGUUCAUCGAAUAACUCCACAAACUGCUCAAACAAGUUUGCAAUCGUGUGACAUCCCCAAAAUCUUGGCCAGAAAAGACUGUUUUUCAUUUAUGCUUUUAAAAUAAUUUCAGAGUAAAUCCUUUUGAUUUGAAAGAGUUGCGGAAUUUGUUCCCAAAAACAAAACAUGAUAAAACAGUGUUUACCAAAGCAUUUCAUAAAAGAAAUGUAUUUUCAUUAUAAAAUCAAAACUCGGGGUGUCAUGUUCCGAUACAGACCAAUAAGCAUAAACGAUAACAUUACAAGUCAUUCAACAAAUAUAUACAUAUACAGACUUGUAAACAAAACAACUUGAUGGUUCAUCCAUCUUAUGCCCUCGCGCCACUUCCUGUAAUACAAAUAAAACUGAGUGGGUCAGGCUUGGGAGUCUGGUGAGCAUAUAGGGUUUUCAACCCACAAUAAAUAAUCAUAUUUAAUUUUCACCAACCAACAAUAACCCAAUUACCCAUUCCCGUUAUUCUCACUUUAUGUCCCUAAAACAACUAACAUAAGGGACCUAGUCUAAGAAUAUUUCAUCGGGGCGACAACACAUGCUUCGGGGGUUCCUCAGCAAUAUAAGUCAAAUAAGGCAACCAUGAGGGGGAUGGAGUACAGCGAAUGAACACCGGAGUUCAUUAACACCUACAGGUGGCGAACCUGCUAAUGUUUCCACAAGACUAUCUAGAAAAGUCCGUGGUCGUCAUCUAAACUCCGCUAUAUGACUAAAUCAAACAACAACGAGGCCUCUCAUCUGUUUAUUACACACCAACUAUCUACCCAUGUUCUACCCAACAUAUUAGUAGAUAAAAAUAUACAUUUUUAUACAUAGNAAAAGUUUCCUCAUAAUCGAUUCCUUCCUCCUGGCAGUAUCCUUUCACCACUAGACGAGCUUUGUUUCUUAUCACAUUGCCUUCCUUGUCCAUUUUAUUUCUGAAGACCCAUUUGAGACCAACAACCGAGGCAUCUUUAGGAGUUGGAAUGAGGCGCCAAACCUUAUUUCUUUCGAACUCAUUAAGUUCGUCUUGCAUAGCUUGAACCCAAUCAGAGUGAUCAAGAGCAGUAUUUACUGUCUUUGGUUCAACUUUUGAGACGAAAGAGUUAAACAUGCAGAACUCUACUUUUGAGAACAGAGAUUUUUGCUUUGCCUUCAGUUGAGAUCGGGUCAAGACCUUUUCAGAGACAUUACUCAC